AUUGAACGCUGGCGGCAGGCCUAACACAUGCAAGUCGAGCGAGCGGCGGACGGGUGAGUAAUGUAUGGGGACUGCCCGAUAGAGGGGGAUAACUACUGGAGACGGUGGCUAAUACCGCAUCCUGUCGAAUACCCCAUAUGGGAUUAGCUAGUAGGUAAGGUAAUGGCUAACCUAGGCGACGAUCCCUAGCUGGUCUGAGAGGAUGAUCAGCCAAACUGGGACUGAGACACGGCCCAGACUCCUACGGAGGAAGCAGGGGGGAAUAUUGCAAAAUGGGCGCAAGCCUGAUGCAGCCAUGCCGCGGGGAUGAAGAAGGCCCUAGGGUUGUAAAGUACUUUCAGUCGGGCGGCGGUACCGACAGAAGAAGCACCGGCUAACUCCGUGCCAGCAGCCGCGGUAAUUC
rnacentral:rRNA from 1 species